CUCCCUGAGUUGGCAUCUGAUGCCUGUCCUACUUCAUACUUUUAAUGUCUGCCCUUCCCAGACCCCCAGCUUCUUCCAGGUGGGCAGCUUGUCCUCUGUAAGUUCCCUGUCUAGCCCUCCCAGGCCUGUAGCUCUGCCAGGACAUCCUCCUGAGUUCUGAAGUGGAAGCCCGGAUUAGAUUCUUGAGAAGAGGAGAAGACACUCAGUGAUGCUGCCCUGGGACCUCUAAGAUGCCCCUCUAUGCAAAUCACUCCGUCCUAUGCAAAGCACUUCACAAUAUGCAAAUGAUUUCACAAUAACAUUGUCAGCAUUCCUGCCUCUGGGGGCUGAGGGUUUCUGGUCAUCAGGCAAGGGAGUGGGCAAGACCCCCCAGAAAUGCCACUUGCUGCCUACUCACUACCCUUUCCUGGGACCUCCACCAUCAGACUCCCUAAUGGGUUAGAGACAAGCACGAGAAUCAGCAGCUUUACUGGGGAGCAAGAAGACUUCUGCCCUCGAAAAGGUUCCCAGAAGGUGGACCACCCCUGAGCCUGCUGACCAGACAGCGGCUGUGAGAAAGCUUCCUGAGUGCAGCCUCCCAAGGGAAAGCAGCCCACCUUCUUGUCUCAGGGCUUUCUGUGGGAUCAGCGGCCAUGAAAUGCUCUGCUCUCUUCUCUUUUCCUUGCUGUCCCCCGGGGCUGGAGGAACACAGGCCUCCCAGGCACCCGGCCUCAACCUUGCUGGACUCCCGUCUCCUUCCAGGGGCUGGGCCUAGGGGCCAGAAACAGAGCCUUAUUUGCAGCAGCAGAAGACUGGAGACACCCGGUGCCCAUCAAUAGGGGACUGAUUACAGAGAUCAGGACCCUGGAAAAGGGUCCAGCAAUGACAGCGAACACAGCAGGUUGUGACAGAAGAAGCCGGGCCCCAGAGGCUGGGCACAGCAUCCUUCUCUUCCUCUCAAGAUUCCAAUCUGUUCAGAUAAAAACUAAGCUACAACGUUAGAGAUGCUCAUGAAGAAAAGUAAGGGGUGGGAGUGGAGGUGUGGCUCACGGGAGGGCUCCCGGCUGGCACGCAUCAGACGCAGUUCUGCACCGUACCAAGCGGGGAAAGUGUAAGGAAAUAAUUUCUAAAAAAAAAGUUAGGACAGAAGUAAGGGGAUGUUUGAGGUGCUCUGGGUCCUGGCAAUCUUUUAUUUCUUUUAUUUCUUUUCCUAAUUUAUUUUUUAAAUUUUUAUUUAUUUUUUUCCUUUUUUUUCUUUUCUUUCCCCAGUGCUGGGUCAAACCCAGGCCUUAUAUAUGCUAGACAAGUGCUUUCCCAUUGAGCCACACCUUCAACCCUUCUUAAGUUGCUUAGGGUCUUGCUAAAUUGUUCAGACUGGCCUCAAACUUGAGAUCCUCCUUCCUCAGCCUCCUGAGCUGUUGGGUUUACAGGUGUGCGCCACCAUGCCGGCAAUGUCUUCUUUCUUUCUUUCUUUUUUUGGUGGUGCUAGGGAUUGAACCCAGGCCCUUGUGUAUGUGAGGCAAGCACCCUACCAACCGAGCUAUAUCCCCAGCCCAAUGUUUCAGUUCUUGACCUGGAUAAUGUUCACAUAGUGUUAGCUUUAUAAUUAAAUUGUACAUAAAUAUGUUAUGUGCCCUUUUUUAUGAAUGUGUCUUUCAUGAUUUAAAAAUCUCACAGCCUAAAGAGGGGACACACACUUAUACUUCCAGCUACUUAGAGACUGAAGCAGAAGGGUCUCUUGAGGUAAGAAUUGAGGAUAGCCAGACAAUACAGAAAGACACUGUCCCCCCAAAAACAUCACAGCACAGAUGCUCCUCUGCAUCCUGGUAAACUAAGUCAAACAUGCAAUUGAUACACUUGACUUACUACACGUCCCAGCUCAGUAACACGGUGCACUGUAGCUAAGCCUUCACCCUCAAGAUCCUGUGGUGAACAAGGACUGUGGUGGCUGCCACUGCAGCAUCUGGAGAGUCUCGGAUUGCGUAUCACUAGCCCUAGAAAAGAUUCCAAGUUCUGGGGCUGGGGUUCUGGCUCAGUGGUGGAGCGCUCACCUAGCACAUGUGAGGCCCUGGGUUCGAUCCUCAGCUCCAAAAAUAUAAAUAAAUAAAAUAAAGGUAUUGGGUCCAACUACACUAAAAAAUAAAUAUUUAAAAAAAAAGAUUCAGAAUUCAAAAUUCAAGCUGAGCACCGUGCACACCUGUAAUCCCAGCUAUUCGGAGGUUGAGGCAGGAGUAUCACAAGUUCAAGGUCAGCUCAGCAAUUUAGCAAGAUCCUGUCUCAAAAACAAAAAGGAACCAGGGAUGCAGCUCAGUGUAAAGCCCUCUUGAUUCAAUCCCGAAACAGGAAAAAAAAAAUCAACAUUUGAAGAACUUCAGUAGAAAUUUCUACUGAACGCACAUCCUCUUCAUACCAUCAUGAAGUCAAAAAAUCCCAAGUCGAACCAUUAAAUCAAAAAAUCCUAAAUUGAAGCAUCGUAAGGAAGAGACCUUCUGUACAUCUAAACAGUGGAAUACUAUACAGUCCUUAAGAAGGGCAAGACAGCUCUGUAAUCAUUAAUGUGGAAUGGAUUUAGGGGGGAAGAAACAAGGGGAAGUGUAAUGUAUUUAGUGUGAUUCCUUCUGUAUAAAAUAGAAAAUUGACUCUAUCUAUCUACAUGCUUAUGUCUGCUUAGACCAUCUCUAAAUGGACACAAGAGGACCAGGUAACAGGGGAGACCGUCUGUGGAAGAGGAACUGAGCACUUGCUGACCUUUGUGCUCUUGGUAUUUUGUACCACGUGUCUGUAUUAUCUAUCCCAAAAAUAAAAUAAUGAAAACA